rnacentral:rRNA from 1 species
GUGAACGCUGGCGGCGUGCCUAAUACAUGCAAGUCGAACGCACAGCGAAAGGUGCUUGCACCUUUCAAGUGAGUGGCGAACGGGUGAGUAACACGUGGAUAACCUACCUCAAGGUUGGGGAUAACAUUUGGAAACAGAUGCUAAUACCGAAUAAAACUUAGUAUCGCAUGAUACCAGGUUAAAAGGCGCUACGGCGUCACCUAGAGAUGGAUCCGCGGUGCAUUAGUUAGUUGGUGGGGUAAAGGCUUACCAAGACAAUGAUGCAUAGCCGAGUUGAGAGACUGAUCGGCCACAUUGGGACUGAGACACGGCCCAAACUCCUACGGGAGGCUGCAGUAGGGAAUCUUCCACAAUGGGCGAAAGCCUGAUGGAGCAACGCCGCGUGUGUGAUGAAGGCUUUCGGGUCGUAAAGCACUGUUGUAUGGGAAGAACAGCUAGAGUAGGGAAUGACUUUAGUUUGACGGUACCAUACCAGAAAGGGACGGCUAAAUACGUGCCAGCAGCCGCGGUAAUACGUAUGUCCCGAGCGUUAUCCGGAUUUAUUGGGCGUAAAGCGAGCGCAGACGGUUAAUUAAGUCUGAUGUGAAAGCCCGGAGCUCAACUCCGGAAAGGCAUUGGAAACUGGUUAACUUGAGUGCAGUAGAGGUAAGUGGAACUCCAUGUGUAGCGGUGGAAUGCGUAGAUAUAUGGAAGAACACCAGCGGCGAAGGCGGCUUACUGGACUGUAACUGACGUUGAGGCUCGAAAGUGUGGGUAGCAAACAGGAUUAGAUACCCUGGUAGUCCACACCGUAAACGAUGAACACUAGGUGUUAGGAGGUUUCCGCCUCUUAGUGCCGAAGCUAACGCAUUAAGUGUUCCGCCUGGGGA